ACAGGUGCUGCAUGGCUGUCGUCAGCUCGUGUCGUGAGAUGUUGGGUUAAGUCCCGUAACGAGCGCAACCCUUGUCCUUAGUUACCAGCACGUUAUGGUGGGCACUCUAAGGAGACUGCCGGUGACAAACCGGAGGAAGGUGGGGAUGACGUCAAGUCCUCAUGGCCUUUAUGACCAGGGCUACACACGUACUACAAUGGCCGAUACAAAGGGCAGCGACACUGCGAGGUGAAGCCAAUCCCGUAAAAUCGGUCUCAGUCCGGAUUGGAGUCUGCAACUCGACUCCAUGAAGUUGGAAUCGCUAGUAAUCGUGGAUCAGCAUGCCACGGUGAAUACGUUCCCGGGCCUU
rnacentral:rRNA from 1 species